rnacentral:rRNA from 1 species
AACAAACGCUGGCGGCGUGCCUAAUACAUGCAAGUCGAACGGGGAAAGCUUUCGGGUGAGUACUAGUGGCGCACGGGUGAGUAACGCGUGGAUAAUCUGCCUUAGAGUGGGGGAUAACUAGUCGAAAGAUUAGCUAAUACCGCAUAAGACCACAAGAACUGCGGUUCAAGGGGUUAAAGGUUUUUCGCUCUAAGAUGAGUCCGCGUAAGAUUAGCUAGUUGGUAGGGUAACGGCCUACCAAGGCGACGGUCUUUAACUAGUCUGAGAGGAUGAUCAGUCACACUGGAACUGAGACACGGUCCAGACUCCUACGGGAGGCAGCAGUAGGGAAUAUUGCACAAUGGAGGAAACUCUGAUGCAGCGACGCCGCGUGAGUGAUGAAGGCCUUCGGGUCGUAAAGCUCUGUCGCAGGGGAAUAACACAAUGAAGGUACCCUGUAAGAAAGGAUCGGCUAACUUCGUGCCAGCAGCCGCCGCUGUAA